rnacentral:lncRNA from 1 species
AUAAUAACACACCUCAAUCCUGUCAUUGUCAAGGGCAUCAUCAUUCUCUCAGUAACCCCAAGCUCAAAAUUAGUAUCAUCCCAGGUUCCUCUUUCUUAUUACACAAAUCCAGUGAAUGACCAAGGCCAGUCCAUUUCACCUCUGCAGCAUCUCUUGUCCAUUUCCACCUUUGCAACAUCUCAUGUUGAUUUCACCUCUGCAAUAACUCUUAUCCAUUUCACUUUUACAAUAUCUCAGGUUGAUUUCACCUCUGCCACACCUGUGGGUUUCACCUUUUCAACAUUUCUCCUUGAUUUCACCUCUUGUCCAUUUUACCUCUGCAGCAUCUCUUGUCCAUUUCCUCUUUGCAGCAUCUUUUGUCCAUUUCACCUCUGCAGCAUCUCUUGUCCAUUUCCUCUUUGCAGCAUCUCUUGUCCAUUUCCCCUUUGCAGCAUCUCUUGUCCAUUUUCCCUUUGUAGCAUUUCUAGCCCAUCUGCAACAUCUCUGAUUAAUUUUACUUUUGCAGCCUCUCUUGUUCGUUUCACUUCUGAAGCAUCUCUUGUCCGUUUCCCCUUUGCAGCAUCUUUUGUCCAUUUUCCCUUUGUAACAUCUCUUGCCCAUUUCCCCUUGCAGCAUCUCUUGUCCUUUUCAUCUCUGCAGCAUCUCUUUUCUAUUUCCCCUUUGCAGCAUCUUUUGUUCAUUUUCUCUUUGUAGCAUUUCUUGCCCAUUUCCCCUUUGCAACAUCUCUGAUCAAUUUUACCUUUGCAGCAUCUCUAGUUGUUUUACCUUUGCAGCAUCUCUUGUCCAUUUCCUCUUUGCAGCAUCUUUUGUCCAUUUCACCUCUGCAGCAUCUCUUGUACAUUUCCCCUUUACAGCAUCUUUUGUCCAUUUUCCCUUUGUAGCAUUUCUAGCCCAUCUGCAACAUCUCUGAUUAAUUUUACUUUUGCAGCCUCUCUUGUUCAUUUCACUUCUGAAGCAUCUCUUGUCCAUUUCCCCUUUGCAGCAUCUCUUGUCCUUUUCAUCUCUGCAGCAUCUCUUUUCUAUUUCCCCUUUGCAGCAUCUUUUGUUCAUUUUCUCUUUGUAGCAUUUCUUGCCCAUUUCCCCUUUGCAUCAUCUCUGAUCAAUUUACCUUUGCAGCAUCUCUGGUUGAUUCUACCUUUGCAGCAUUUCUUGUCCAUUUCCCUUUUGCAGCAUCUUUUGUCCACUUUCCCUUUGUAGCAUUUCUUGCCCAUUUUCCCUUUGCAACAUCUCUGAUUAAUUUUACU